AAGAAAGUGACUGCCGCCCCGCACAGGGGCGAGCUAAUAGACCGCGAACCAAGCAAAUUUCAUAGAGGCCGAAGCGCAUCAAACGGUGUAGAACCCCGAACCCCAAGCGCCAGCGGCCAAAU
rfam:Burkholderia glathei strain DSM 50014 contig4, whole genome shotgun sequence.